GGUGAACGCUGGCGGCGUGCUUAAGACAUGCAAGUCGAACGCAGUCUUCGGACUGAGUGGCGCACGGGUGAGUAACACGUAACUGACCUACCCCCAAGUCGCGGAUAACUGGCCGAAAGGUCAGCUAAUACGUGAUGUGAUGUCCCCUUUCUGGGGGGCCAUUAAAGGUUUACUGCUUGGGGAUGGGGUUGCGUUCCAUCAGCUAGUUGGCGGGGUAAAGGCCCACCAAGGCAACGACGGAUAGCCGGCCUGAGGGGGUGGCCGGCCACAGGGGCACUGAGACACGGGUCCCACUCCUACGGGAGGCAGCAGUUAGGAAUCUUCCACAAUGGGCGAAAGCCUGAUGGAGCGACGCCGCGUGAGGGAUGAAGGUUCUCGGAUCGUAAACCUCUGAAUCAGGGACGAAAGACGCGUAAGCGGGAUGACGGUACCUGAGUAAUAGCACCGGCUAACUCCGUGCCAGCAGCAGCCGCAG
rnacentral:rRNA from 1 species